rnacentral:rRNA from 1 species
GACGAACGCUGGCGGCGUGCUUAACACAUGCAAGUCGAACGGUGAAGCACCUUCCUUUUGGUGGGUGUGGAUGAGUGGCGAACGGGUGAGUAACACGUGAGUAACCUGCCCCCUUCUUCUGGAUAACCGCAUGAAAGUGUGGCUAAUACGGGAUAUUCUGGGUCUGUCGCAUGGCGGGCCUGGGAACGAUAUUGUUUCGGUGGGGGAUGGGCUCGCGGUCUAUCAGCUUGUUGGUGGGGUGAUGGCCUACCAAGGCGGUGACGGGUAGCCGGCCUGAGAGGGUGGCCGGUCGGGAGGGGAGAGAGACACGGGCCGAAUACGGGAGGGAGGCGGAGGGGGGGUAUAGUGAACGGUGGGGGCAUGACGGAGCCACGGCGCCCGGGGGAGGAAGGGAGGCCUUGGGGUUAAAACCCUUUUUCGGCAGGAAAGCAGGCCUGUCCCUUUGGGGGGGGGGUGAAGGGUACUGGGAAAAAAGCCCCGGCUAAAUACGGG